AAAAUGUUGAGGUUUAAAACACUUGCUUCAGUUACUUUAGGCUUCACCAGCCUCUGAUGAUGUAGGAAGUAGCUCAAGUUGAUAGAAGUUACAACUUUUUCUCGUUUUAAAUUUUAAAAAAUAAUCAUAUAAUUGUAUUGUUUAAUGUUUUCGCUCCAGCCAAAUGAUAGUAAGGAUAUUUUCUAAAUUUUUUGACUGUCGUUUGUGUUAAAGGGUGUUUUGUUUCCUGUUCAAAAGGUGAAGGGAGAUUGUUUACCUGCCCUAAAAUGUUUAGGGGGUAAGAUAAAAGGAAUUUUUACAUUUUAUAGCAAGGUUAACAUCUUAUUUAUAUUAAAUAAAUACCAUUUAAAUAAAUUAUAUUCUAUAGAUACUUUUUAUGGUUUAUAGCAAAAUUUUUAAUUUUGGUUAUCUCCUACACUUACACUACAAUACACAUUCUUUAUCUCUCUUAUUUUGAUACACUCCAUUCUCUUUCCCAUUCACUGUAAACUCGCCCAAAACCAGAGAAACUCUCACCCACACUGCUUCCUUCUUCCCCAAUCUCGGCAUAAACCCUAAUUUUCGCUUGAUUGUUGUCAUUUGUUGCUAUAAUUUCUCUUAAUCUUAAUCUUCAAGGCCCAAAUUGUGGACUUCGAGUGUAACCCUCCCACCACAGGUGCUUCUAUUACUUUGCAAAUCAUCUCUCUGUCCGAAUUAUCCAUUUUCAAAUUCAUGAUGCUCCUUUCAAUCUCACUGAUCCCAAUUCAUCAGCCUCAUUCGCCACCGUAGCAUUUGCCGUCCCAAAAAUUCACAGUGUUUUCAGGCAAUCCAUUUGAUUUAACGUCCAUGCCUUCCUGGAUAAACCACUGGACUCGAGCUCUGCACCAGCCUCUAAUCGACCAUCCAUACUUGUCUCUGUAUUUCAUGUAUUUUAUUUUAUUCUCUGUCUUUUUUUUCAUUAUAUUUCAAUGUAUUCCGUUGUAUUCUAUGUAUUUCAUCGUAUUCACUGUCUCGCUAUAUGCCAUGAAUGUAUUCAUAAGUUUUUUUAAUUAAUAUAAUUUAUGUAUUUAGAUGUAUUAUAUAAUUUCUCUGAAGAUUGCUAUGUUUUUGGGGUAUUUUUUGGUUGAGAAUCCUUUUUAUAAUUGAAAAUACAAAUUUUGUGUGUUAUAAUUGAGUUUGUUGAGUUAUAUUAGGAGUCUAUUAUAUUAAUUGAUUCACUUUCCGUUUUAAAAACAGUGUAAUCCCCUAUUUCACGCCGUGAAUAUAGUCGAAUACAAUAAUNUNUCCNNNNNNNNNNNNNNNNNNNNNNNNNNNNNNNNNNNNNNNNNNNNNNNNNNNNNNNNNNNNNNNNNNNNNNNNNNNNNNNNNNNNNNNNNNNNNNNNNNNNNNNNNNNNNNNNNNNNNNNNNNNNNNNNNNNNNNNNNNNNNNNNNNNNNNNNNNNNNNNNNNNNNNNNNNNNNNNNNNNNNNNNNNNNNNNNNNNNGAUUAGCUCGGACUUCCCUGAUUCAUGCCUAUUUUUGCUACUGUAUUCAUGAAUACAAUAGCUUAAAUACAUCAAAUACAUAUUAUAACCACAUAAAAUGUAUCUAUAAUUAGUAAUAUAGCAAAUGGUAUCUAUAGAUGACUAAUUACUACUAAAAGAUAGUGUUUUAUGAAAAUUUCUCAAGAUAAAACUUACUCUUCUUAUUUCAUGCCCACUAGCCACUAAUUAGGACACACGGGCCUGGAUUUGGGCCUUAAGCUAGAGAAUUGUAGAGAAAAUUUCAUUUGCAGCCAUCCGGGAAAAAUUAUGACAAUAGCUAGCCACAAAACAAUCCAUAUAAUUAACAGUCCAAAACUAAUAAAAAGGCUAGCCCAACACCAUUGCCACUCAAAACCCUAACUUCCUUCUCACUCAAAACUAAUUUGGAUCCGCAUGUAUUUCUAGAACUUCCUCAAGUCUAAGCUGACACUCAUCGGGAGUCUUCAAGAGCUGCAGUUUCUCUACAUCUCUAAGGGGUCGUUUGGUAGGAUGCAUUAGAUAAGCUAAUGAUUAAUAAUACAUUGUUUGGUAGACAUUUUGAACCUAUGCAUUAGUUAUACAUCCUAUUUGGUAUUAUCCUAUGCAUAACUAAUGCAUAGAAAAUAAUGGUAUUAGCAAUGCAAUGGGUUUUAAUGCAUGCAUUAACUUAGUUAAAGAUAAAAUUGUCCUUCAAAAUUUAUGCUUGAUUAAAAUAUUCUAGUUAGUAUAUUAAUGCAAGUUCAAAAUAAUCCAAAUAGUGAGAAAUAAAAUUAUAUCCCUAGUAAAUAAAUAAAUACUUAGCAUAUUUCCUUUUUUAGAAAUAAAUAUUUAAUUUUAUUUUACAAUAUAGGUAGACAAAUAAAAUAAUUUUUUAAAACUUUUUCAUAUAAAAAUAUUUCUCAACAUAUGUUUCUUUUAAAAAGUUAGAGUGUGGACUAGUUUUGAGGGUAUUUUUGUAAACAAACAAUUCUUUUAGAAACUGUGCAAUGCUUUAAUACAUCAAACCAAACAAUAAAUAAGAAAUAUGUCAGCAUAACUAAUAUCAACAUAACUAAUACAACAUUACUAAUACACCCUAUUCAGUAUUAUUCUUAUGCACCCUACCAAACGACCCCUAAGUAUAAUCAUUAGUUAAGGAGUAGUUAAGGAGUAUAUAAAAGUGACUGAUUCAGCCCAAGUGACAAGAAGCAAAGAUUAAUAGAAGGGGAUGGGAGAAUUGCUUCUAAAGGUGUCAUCUUCUGUUGUAUUGGUGGAUCUCUCCAUAUUUGAUCCGGACAAAACAAUAUUCAAGGUCCAAAAUUCAAACGAUGCCAAAGUGAGGAUAAGUUUAUUAAACAACAUAAAAUAACAAUUAAAAGGAAAUUAAAAAAAAAAAAAAGGAAACACAUGAAUUAUUGCAAAGAGCACAUAACAUUCAUAACCUAGAGAUUGAAUCCUAAUGCAAACCCAGCCAUAACCUGAAGUACAUAUGCUAAAAAAAAGGCAAUAACAAUUUUCAUAAGCAAACUUUACUUAUCCUCUGAUAUCAAGGAAAAUUUAUUAUCAGGCCCUAGCACUGCACACAAUUCAAACCUUUUUGUUCAUCAUAUCACCAAUAUUUAAAAGUCAUUUUAGAUUAUAUAUUAUACUGGAGAGCAUUUCUUUUGAAUAUUGGUAUACUAUAAAAUAUAUAUACAAAAUAGACUGUCACUAUACAAAAAUCAUACAAAAAUAGACUGUCAUUAUACAAAAAAUUUACUAAAUAGACUGUCACUAUAUAAAAUAUAUACAAAAAUAAACUGUCACUAUACAAAAAUAUACUAAAUAGACUGUUAUUAUAUAAUCUAUAUAUAAUAGACUGUCACUAUACAAAAAUAUAUAUAAAAUAGACUGUCACUAUACAAAAAAUAUACAAAAUAUAUUAUCACUAUACAAAAAAUAUACAAAAUAAAUUGUCACUAUACAAAAAAUAUAUAAAAUAAACAUUUCAGAUUAUUAGAUGUAAUAUGUUUGGGCUGGAGGACCAUUUUGUGCCAAUGUGCAAAAAUAUUGGCUAUUAAAAUUUUGAGGGGCUAUAGAGGGUAGUUUUCUAGAGAAUUGUAACUGCUAAAUGGCUAAUGAAUCCAAAGCUAAAAAAGAAUUCAUCUAAAUAGCCGUUCACCUAAUCUCUUAAACUAUAAAUAGCCGCAAAUAUAUAAUAUAUGUAUAACUGUAUAUCAUCAAUAUAUAAUUUAUACAUACCGAUUAAAAAAAGUAAAUAUUAAAUCUCGCUGGCUAUUAGUGCAACGAUCCCUUUUUUUUCUUGAUGCUACUAUGGUGAAAAACCUAACUUUUGAUGUAUAUCACCAUACUUCAUUUUUUUUUUCCUCAUAGUUUAUGAAGUAGAAAAGAUUAAUUGGCAUAGCAGUCGCCAAAAUGUCACCGAUUUAACUUAUUUCAUUGGACUAUCCGCUUUGACACAAACAUUUUACCAAUUGGCAUGCUAGAUGGCAGGUCUAAAGUGUAUAAUUAUCUUAUUUAAAAGUUUAAACUCUCGAUUGAUUAAAUUUACAUUAAAUUAAUUUUAUUUUCAACACAUUCUUUCACAUGCAAGUUUGAAUCUUUUUCAUCAAGGGUCGAACACUUUAAAAAAAAAUUAAUAAUGAGUGGCGCUAAGAAAUGAAUUUAUGCCUAUGCCUACUCUAACACCCCAUUAAUGAUGUAAUCAUCCACAACUUGAAAAUUUAAGCGACUAGAUUAGAUUUUUAUUUACUUAAUUAUAUUAUAUUUUUUUCAAUAGAAAAACAUGGAGAAUAGUGGUAUAGUGGUCCUAGUGGAGCUUGUUAUCUUCAGCUUAUUAUCUGAUGGUCCAAAGGGGCUACUAUAAUUGGAAAAUUUACCUGAAUGUGAUGAUUGCGUGACAAACAAUAUAGGCUACAGGCAUCAGAUACUCUAUUCCUUAUUUAAUCCCCCGAAUUUUUGCACUCUCCUCAAUAUUUGGUCCACAGAAUGUGAAAAUGUCACAAUUUAGUCCAGGGACCAUGAUCUAUUUCUCUUUUAG
rnacentral:lncRNA from 1 species